rnacentral:lncRNA from 1 species
CAAACGUGUGUGUUUUGGCACAUUUCCUCCUGGUCAGAUCCAAUCAGGUCCAUGUUUCUAAUCAUGGCAUUCUAACCGGGGCCCGGAAGGUCUUCUACAAAAUAGGGGUAGACUAAAUGAGAAUUAUUCUACUUUAAAUUAUCAUCCUAACAGUCGGCACAACCCUAGGCAUCUAGUACGGAUGCCGACUCCCUCACAAACCUUCAAACUGGCUCUGAAUACCAAUGUCGUGGAGCGUGAGGAAGCACCCGGAGCGUGAGGAAUGCGCAUCAGCAAACUUCCAGCCAGCCAGCACUUCGUCGGUACAGUAAAUCCGGUGUUCGCCCAGCCGCGCACUCCUGCCCUGCCGUUGCAAAUUGUUUGCCAUCUGCUAGGGUUUGGGAACCAGCUGCACCCUACGGGACUUUACCAACCUGCCUUACAACUAUCCAUUCGCACACGUCGAUACCAAUGUCAAUCUCACUACCUCCCUCACUACCUCGGGAUAGGUUCAUUUCAGUGCCCUCCCCCGCGACAUGCCCCCCAUGGUGUACUAGGGCCAUCCGUGGCACUCGCCAACACGGCGUCCCCACACGUGAACAAUGUAUGGUAUUGAGGUUGCGCCUAGAAAAGACCACCACUCAGGACAGCGUAAGAAGGCUAGCGCUACGACAGUCAUGCUCUGUCCUCCAGACUCUGUGCACACACGCUGCAGCACACACACACUCGCUAUCAGUUGCUAUCGCUAAUCUGGAUCAAUUGCCCUGCAGUCGCCCAAAUACGCCCAUGCAAUGUACCAUAUCAGAACAGGGGAGACACAGGGUUCUCCCAAUGGGUCUCCCCUGGCUCAAAACCAGCAACUGCACCAUCCCCGCCGGGCUGGCGGCUCCUCCUGGGCCCGCUGGGCCAUCUGUGAUGCCAGACUACCCAUCUGCGCCGCCAGCGUGUUCAGCGUGUUCAUGUUCGCCGCGAAGAUUCCAGCGUGUUCAGCGUGUUCAUGUUCGAAGAUAUCUUCGCGGCGAACAUGAACACGCUGAACACGCUGGCGGCGCAGAUGGUUAGUCUGGCAGCACAGAUGGCCCAGCGGGCCCAGGAGGAGCCGCCAGCAUGUCCUCCACGGCCAACACACACACGGCACAGCACGCUUCUGUACGCGGUCCUGAUAUGAGUGCGACAUCGCAUGCUGAUAUGCUUCUCCACGCCUGUACGCGCACACAUGGCAUGCCCUGACACGCCAGCGGCCCGCCGCCCGGGCGCCCAGCAGCAGCUGCCCUGCGUAGAAGGAGGCCGCCCGGGCUGCUCGCCUGCCUGACAGGCGGUGGGCAGAUGGGGUUGCGACUGUGGGCGCGGAGCCCAGCCGACGGCUGACCGCCUGACCGGCUUCAGUGCUUGGCUCCGCGCCCGCAGAACGCAGCCGCCCCAGCAUCAGGCGGCGGCCCAGGCGUCCUGUCACGCACUGCAGAUCCCGACGGCCCUCGGCUGGGCAGCCUGCGACACCUGCGCCUCCGCCUGGCGCCCAACUCCCUUGUGCGCCGCGGCGCCACACCAGCGACACGACCGGUGCCCACAGCACUAGUAAAGGUGGGAAGGCUCCCGCUUUGGCAGUUUGUGCCACAACUGUAGGUGGUCUCCCAGCCACUCGCACAGCUCCUCUAGGCACGCUUGGUCCACCUGGGGGCACACCUGUUUGAUGGGUGGGGUUGCACGGGGUAAAACAUAAUGUGUUGAGGUCGCGCCUAGGACAGACGACCACUCAGCCGGUGUAAGAUGGCUAGCGCUAUGACAGCCCUGUCCUUCAGACUCUGUGCACACACGCUGCAGCACACUCGCUAUCACUCGCUAUCGCUAAUGCAGGUUAAUUGCCCUGUCCUCGCCCAAAUACGCGCAUGCAAUGUACCAGUUCAGAACAAGAAAGACACAGGGUUCUCCCCUGGCUCAAAACCAGCACCUGCACCAUCCCCGCCGGGCUGGCGGCUCCUCCUGGGCACGCUGGGCCAUCUGUGCUGCCAGGAUACCCAUAUGCGCCGUCAGCGUGUUCAUGUUCGCCGCCAGCGUGUUCAUGUUCGCCGUCACUUCACGGCGCAUGUCCUCCACGGCGCGUUGCAGCGCGCUAAUUUGCUCCUCCAGGGCGCGCAACCGCCCUUCGACCUGCGUGAUAGGGUAAGCGCGACAUUGCAGGCAGGGACAGGCCGCGAGGGUUCAGCGGCAAUUCAGCGUGGUAACGCACCGAGCAUGUGCGGUCGGUCACCUUAACCUGCUUGCGCAACAAUCAACCCGCUGUAAUGUCAGCCCGCUGAAAAUCAACCCACUGCAAGUCCUGAUUGACGCGCGGUGAAGAGAGAAGCGGACAGCUGCAAACGAACCUGUGCGUCCGCAGCGCUCCUGCUCGCGAUAUCACCCCUACAGACAUUGCGUCGUAAUUUCAUAAGGUAAAAAGCAGGACUAAGAGGUGUUUGCUCACGUACCAAAUCGCCGAGUUGAGGGAGUCCCGCGCCUGCGCCCGCGCCACUGUCAGAGCUCAUAGCGACAAUUACCUUUUCCUGUAUUGCGGAAGGUUAUCGCACGCAGUGUCCUGGUCCACAAGACAGGCGUUCUCCGGCACUCGGGCCAAGGCCAAGGUUUGCUUCCGCAACUGUAGAUGCAUGGUUUACAAGGGUUGCAUAGGAGUGGCUAGAAAGAAAGAGUCAUGAUGAAAUUGCCACGAAUGUAGAGCAGCAAUCUCAAACAACCAGUUUUUCAAGUACACAUUUAUAAAUGCGACAAACGAAGGCCGAAAAUUUUCUCUGACUAUUCGGCUGGGGCAUGAGCAGUAGCGGGCGGGAGUCGACAACCAUCUUUUCUGAGGCCGGAGGCGCCUGGUAGUAGCAAAACAGCUAGUCCUUAUAAGUGUUUCGUAACUGGCUCUUGCGAUUUGCCUGAGCCGAGUACUACAGGAAGGGCAUCCACGUCGCUAGUAAACAUAGCCUCUUUCACACGCAGACCUGUAAACCCGUAAGCGCGCUAAGUUGAUUAUAAGCGGCGAAUUCCAGCACACGUGCUUUUCGUCCUGCACACGCA